CUCUUUGAUGCCAUUUCUACGAUCUUCCUCGAUUCGAGCUAUUGCCUCAUCAAUAAAUGCGGUGGUUAUAUCAGUGAUACUAUCGAGAGCCGACAUCAAUUUCUUGAAUGUAGCCGUCUGAUAAUAUUUCCAAGUGGAUGGCCCAAACUCGUAAACCAUGGCAUAGGUAAAUAAUAUGGUCAACGAGGUCUUGGAUGUCUCCUCGCUAAUCCAGCUAAAUCCCAAUCCUAAAGCAAAACCUGGCCCUGGUAACGGUCUCAGCUGCCUACAAGAUGCCUUAAGAUCUCGUGUUUGUUCGUCCUUCCGUCUAGACUUUGGUAAAUGUAGUAAAAUUUUUCUCGUCAUGAAUUCUUUUUUGUUUCAAAAAAGUUUUUUUUAGAUUAAAAAUUUUAUGCUGUUUUCAACCGUCUUUGUGUGGAAAGCAACCUCACAUCGUAGUUUCAAAACUAAAGAAACUACGAUGUGACCCAAUGGGUAUCUUACUUUCCCUAUCACCGAACAAUGGGACGAUUGUAGUACUUCAGCCGGAAACGAGGACCCCGAAGUCAGCCAGGCUAGCGCUCAAUUAACACAUUGUUGGCACCCGACAACAAGGCAUCCUGCUAUCAAUCCCAAGAAACAUUUUAUGUUCGCACCUACAACUGAUGCCUUCCACCAAAGCCCACCCAAAAGUUCUCAAUCAUCUAUAAAUCGGCUGCCGUGGGUAAUCGUAUCGACCAAAAGCAUUAAGACAGGGGCUUUGAACCGUCGAGAUUAAUCCAACCUAGCAUUAUUAAAGCACACCAAAAGUUUCCGAUCAACAUUAUACGGACUGCUGUGGGUCACUGCAUCGAUCAAAAGUAUCAUAUAUACCCCUCAUAUAAACCCAUCUCCCGAUUUGACUUCUUGAGCCCAUGGAAGCCACAAUUUUUUUUCGAUUUGGCUGAAAUUUUGUACAUGGUGUUUUGUUAUGACUCUCAACAACAGUGCCGAGUACGGUUCAAAUCGGUCAAGAGCAUGAUAUAGCUCCCAUAUAAACCGAUCUCCCGAUUUGACUUCUUGAAGCCGCUAUUUUUAACCCAUUUGGCUGAAAUUUUGCAUGUAUUGUUCUGUUAUGACAACAACUGCGCCAAAUGCGGUCUAAUUCGGUCUAUAACUAGAUAUAGCUCCCAUAAGUUCAACCAGGCCGAAUCUUGGGUGGGUUCCCAAGAUCCGGCUUGGUUGAACUUAGCACGCUUUUACAUGUUUAUUCUCUUUGUUUCAAUCAUUGCUAAGAAAGCAAUGAAUGAUCAUACGCAAGGGUAUACUCAUCGUCUUUAUACCCUCCACUAUAGGAUGGGGGUAUACUAACUUCGCUAUUCCUUUUGUAACGUCCCGAAAUAUUAAUCUGCAACCCCAUUAUGUAUAUAUAUUCAGGAUCGUCUCAUCAUUCUAGGUCGAUCUAGCCAUGUCUGUCCGUCUGUCUGUCUGCCUGCCUGUAGAAAGCACGCUAAUUUUCGAAGGAGUAAAGCUAAGCGGUUGAAAUUUUGCACAAAUACUUUCUAUUAGUGUAGGUCGGUUGGGAUUGUAAAUGGGCCAUAUCGGUCCAUAUUUAGAUGUAGCUGUCAUAUAAACCGAUCUCCGGACUCUGACUUUUAAGCCUCUAGAGGGCGCAAUUUCUAUCCGAUUUUGCUGAAAUUUUGCACAAUGCGCCAUGUAUGGUUCAAAUCAGCCCAAAAUCUGAUGUAGCUCCCAUAUAAACCGAUCUCCCGAUUUUACUUCUUGAGCCUGUAAAGGGCGCAAUUCUUAUCGGCUUUGAUUGAAAAUUUGUACUAUGAUGUCUUCUUCGAAUUUGCGAAAAUAAUGCUGGUGGUUGAACAUAUGAAGGCAGGGUUGCCAUACGUAUUUUUUUUGCAGAUUUAUUUUAAAACAAAUAUUCUUGUUUAUUUUUAGAAAAAAUCAAAUUUUCAGUCCAAGAUAUGAAUUUUUUCCCACAAAGAGGAUAAAAAAUCUUAAAGAGAGUAUCUCACGCAUACAAUAAUAUCUUCAAAACGCUUAAAGAGAGUAUCUCACGCAUACAAUCAUAUUUUCAUUUUGGACAUUGCUAAGCUAAACAAACAAAUGCUCCAAAAGACGGCACUACAAACAUGCAUUCAAAGACAAGAACCGAAGACGAUAACCUACUCACGCCACGCCACAUUAUCCUACACAUAUACUUAUAACACAAGUAGACUGUAACAUAGAAUUAAAUCAAUAAAGUCACCUUAUUGUCAAUCCUCAAUUCAAA